CGGCGGACCCGCGUGGAGGGCGCUGUGGGCUCGUGACCUCGUCCUGGGCCUCACCCUGCCGGCUGCUGUCCCGGGAGAGGGCUCUGCCUGCCGCGGCCCCAUCGCGCCCUGGCUCGCACCUGCGAGGGCCGGAUCCGGGGCUGGGGACAGGGGCAGCCAGGCACCACGCUGUCCCGGGACCCUUGGGGUGACACGGGCUGCGCGGGCAGCGGGAGCAGGCUGAGGCUGCCGGCCGGGGGCGCUGUCCUCAGGGCGGAUGGCGGCUCGGACCGCGCCCGCCUGGCGCUGCCCCCGCCAGAUGAAGGCAGUGCAGGGGGCAGCGUUUUCCGGUGGACUCAGCGCCAAGCUGCUUCUCUCCGAAUUGUGCCGGGGGAAGCAGCCUUCAUCCCCACCGAAGGGCACAAAACACUCUCGGAAGUGGCAGAAGCAGAAAGAAAGUAGCAAAAGCAACUAGACAUGCAACCAUGGCGAACCGUGACCGCGUUGCAGCCUGUCCCCUACUGCGCUGCUGCAGGAGCUCAGCGGUGGCGGUGAGGUUCUUGGAAAGGGCAGCUGCGGACCACAGAGGGGACCUGAGCUGCAUGAUGGGGUCCCAGGGAGUCACCGCCCCAGGAUGUCCCCGAAGGCCACCCACACUGCCAGCUGGGGGCUGACCUCGCCCCAGGCUCUUCUGGUGUGGAGGGCCGGCACGAAUGUCAUUCAUCCCUCCCGCAUUGCCACCUGCCCUGGUCUGACCCACCAUGAGUGUGACUGACGAGUCCCCUUCAGGGGAGCCUUGCAUGACCUGGGCGGAAACAGGGGACGUUUAGGUGGCACUGCAGCUGUGGGCAGCUUUGUGCCACCAACCCCUCCCUGCCAGCUCAGACACAAUGGAGCCAGCCAACCAUGGACUGAAAUGUCUGACACCAGCAAGAAUCAAGCUAUGACAAAGCCGGGGAACUACAGUCACCAUCUCACAUCAGGAGCUGGGAUCACAGAGACCUGCAGAGCUGCCUGCGGGGAGGAGGGCAGCCACAGGUGUCACACAGAGAGGCCCCUGGAGCCCCUGCAGCUUGACUCUGCCCACGAGCCAACAGGGAGAUGCUUCUUCUUAUCACCCUCAUUGCUCUGACUGUGGCUGGAGUCCCAGCCCCACCUCUGCCCUCUCACCUCUCUGGGAGCAGGCGAGAGAUCAUCUGCCCAAGAGAGGACGCCUUUCCAGGGAGGAGCGCACCGAGGGGGCCCUGCCAGCCCCUGGGGUCCUCACCUUGCCUUCUUCAAGCAGGGACAGGACGGCCUUGAAGGAGGGAGCAGUGACCAUGCUGGCUCAGACUGCAGAGCUGCGGCCAUCUGUGACUUGGAGGAUGAGAACCCCAGUGCCAUCACAAAAAAUCUGCUCUUCCAUUUGCAGAAUACUAACAUUCCUCAGUGGCAUAAACAGUCAGUGCUGGGUUCAUUCCCUUCCUUGCCUUACGGUGUUUUUUUUUUCAAAACCUCUUGUUUGUAUAAAAUGAUUCACACCCUGGAAUUGACUACAGGGAACCCUCUCCCUGCCGCCUGUCCUCUGGAUAAAACUGAGUCUCGGGUCUGGGAGGGCACCGCAGCGGAGCUGGAUUGCUGCCCCACACCCCGGGGGGGGGUUAUUCAACCUCUCUCUCUCAGACUGUUUUGAAGCAUCAGCAAAGUCCCACCUUUCCCUAG
rnacentral:lncRNA from 1 species